rnacentral:rRNA from 1 species
UACGAAGGGUGCAAGCGUUACUCGGAAUUACUGGGCGUAAAGCGUGCGUAGGCGGUUUGUUAAGUCCGUUGUGAAAGCCCUGGGCUCAACCUGGGAAUUGCAGUGGAUACUGGCGAGCUAGAGUGCGGUAGAGGAUGGUGGAAUUCCCGGUGUAGCGGUGAAAUGCGUAGAGAUCGGGAGGAACACCCGUGGCGAAGGCGGCCAUCUGGACCAGCACUGACGCUGAGGCACGAAAGCGUGGGGAGCAACCAGG